UAGGGAAUCUUCCACAAUGGACGCAAGUCUGAUGGAGCAACGCCGCGUGAGUGAAGAAGGGUUUCGGCUCGUAAAGCUCUGUUGUUAAAGAAGAGCGUGGGUAAGAGUAACUGUUUACCCAGUGACGGUAUUUAACCAGAAAGCCACGGAUAACUACGUGCAAG
rnacentral:rRNA from 1 species